UACGUAGGUGGCAAGCGUUGUCCGGAUUUAUUGGGUUUAAAGGGUGCGUAGGCGGUCUUGUAAGUCAGUGGUGAAAUCCGGCAGCUCAACUGUCGAUGUGCCUUUGAUACUGUUAGACUUGAGUACAGACGAGGUAGGCGGAAUUGACGGUGUAGCGGUGAAAUGCUUAGAUAUCGUCAAGAACACCGAUAGCGAAGGCAGCUUACUAGACUGUAACUGACGCUGAUGCACGAAAGUGUGGGGAUCAAACAGG
rnacentral:rRNA from 1 species